rnacentral:lncRNA from 1 species
UCUGUGCUUGCGUGGUGCCGCGUGUGUGUAUAUUUGUGUUCUUCACCCUUCUUCUCUCAUACUAGACCUAAGAUGUGGUUUUACAGUUCGAAACCUAGUACCAGCUGGUUGCAGUGACAGCUCUGUUCGCUUGAAUUUUGUUUGUCAAAUCUAUCAACCAUUUAAUAGUAUUUUUCUCUCACAACAAAUCAACGAAUAGUACUUUUAGCCAUGCCUUUUCUGCUAAGCGAACAGGAUCUCCAAAGCAGGCUAAGCUUGAGGCCAUGGUAAUCACUACAACACCCAAGAACAUCGAUUUUACUUUUGUUGUCUACCAUCUCCUUUUGUUCGUUGUUCGAUUCAGCUACAAUCUUCUUGUUUGUCGAGGAGGAAGAGGAGGAAGAUCUAGCGGCGGCGGCGACGACGACAGUAGCAGCAGCAACAACAACAGCAACACAAGGAGGGAGAGCAGGAACCAAAAGGCAAGGACAACAUCCCAAAGACCCCAACGACGACACAUCCGAAACAGCCAGCCACUCGUUCCAUUUCCGGCAGCAGCAGCAGCAGGGGGAAGAAAGGACCAGGUGUUGUGCCAUAAUGUAGUAGUGCAGCUGCAGCCGCCAGCCACCUAUGUACUGUAAUUCUGUAUGGCACUAUAAUCGUCAAGUAAUAUUAC